GUCUUAUCCACCAGACAGGUCUUAUCCACCAGACAGGUCUUAUCCACCAGACAGGACUUAUCCACCAGACAGAUUUAACCCACCAGACAGGACUUAUCCACCAGACAGGUAUUAUCCACCAGACAGAUAUUAUCCACCAGACAGAUAUUAUCCACCAGACAGAUAUUAUCCACCAGACAGAUAUUAUUCACCAGACAGCUCUUAUUCACCCGACAGCUCUUAUCCACCAGACAGUUAAUAUCUACCAGACAGAUAUUAUUCACCAGACAGAUCUUAUCCACCAGACAGAUCUUAUCCACCAGACAGAUCUUAUCCACCAGACAGGUUUUAUUCACCACACAGCUCUUAUCCACCAGACAUAUCUUAUCCACCAGACAGGUCUUAUCCACCAGACAGAUAUUAUCCACCAGACGGGUAUAAUUCACCAGACAGCUCUUAUUCACCAGAGAGGUAUUAUUCACCAGACAGCUCUUAUUCACCAGACAGAUUUAUCCACCAGACAGGUGUUAUUCACCAGACAGGUAUUAUUAAUCAACAUCUUCCUUAACCCACACAUCUGAAUCAACAUCUUUAAUGGAUUGCAUUAUGAACCACUCCAUUGUUAGUGAGCUGAACCUUAUUCACCAGACAUAUAUUAUCCACCAGACAGAUCUUAUUCACCAGACAGGUCUUAUCCACCAGACAGAUAUUAUUCACCAGACAGGUCUUAUCCACCAGACAGAUAUUAUUCACCAGACAGUUAUUAUCCACCAGACAGCUCUUAUUCACCACCACCAGACAAAUGUGAUGUAACAUGUUGUUUUCCAAAAAAAAUGAUCUUUACCAACUUUGUUGAAUGAGUCAUCCUGUUUUUCCUCCACUCCUCCAUCUCUUUCUCUCUCCUUAUGUUUUCUUUUUGUUCUCUCACUUUCUCAAUCACUCUUUCUGCACCCGUCUGUCCACCUUGAUAAGUCUUUCAGAGUAUUCGUGUGUGAGUGUGUGUGUGUAAGAAAGGCAUAGCGAGAGAGACAGAGAAAGGGUGGGUGACAGUGCUCCAUCUCCCUGUGUGCCAGAGCAGCAGAGUGGCAGGUUGCCUAGCCGUGGGGCCUCUAAUGAAGAGAGUCUGUGUGCUUUAUCGAUUGACUCAGUCACCUGAUGCGUGGCUGGGCCCGUUAAUGGCCUAAUGGGAUGACACACUGAGAGAGGAAAUACCAAGGGGAGCACCAGGUGUGUGUGUGUACUGUGUAUGUAUAGUGUGUGUUUGUGUGUGUGUACUAUAAGAGUGUGUUUGUGUGGGUAUAGGCUUAUUUGUGCAUGAUUGUGUAUCUGUAUGUCAUCACUGCCUCUACGUAAAAAAAGAGACAGGGUUUAAUUGGUGUUACAGUGAAGUAUUUGGAUAUCACACUAUUGGCCACUGUGUUAGAGCUGAUAUCAGCAGCAUAUUGCAGGUACUUCCAUCCACACACCUCAUUAUGUCUCUCCUCCUCUGUCCGUAGGUUGUUGGUUUUGGUUGCGUAAUACAUCUUAAGCCUGCCCAUUAAAUAUGAAUGAACAACUGAUUUUCUCAUCCAUCUUUCAUGACUUUCAUUUGUUGAGCUAUUUGCCUCCAAAAAAUAUUGUGUUGGAUGUUCUUUUCGCGAUUUCUGAAUCAGCGUUUUCUCACAGCACCUUGUUCAGUCUACUGAAAAAAAUAAAUGUA
ensembl:lncRNA